AAACACCAGUCCCAAGGUUCCUGUAGGCAGGCACAGCUAAGCAAGACAGAUCACCGCACCUUAGGGAGAGAGGAAGCACCCAGGGCAGAGCUUAAAUACAGCUCCCAGCCCAAGGCUGUGGAUGGAGGUCUCAGGUGAGCCUGGCUGGGAUUAUUAAGGCUGACUGAUGCACUCACCAUCCUGACAUGUGCAGAAGGACAAGCCCUCGUACUUGCUUCUCCGACUGUAAGAAUCAGAAAGCCAGAGAGUUUUCAAAUCCUCAUGUUCCUGAAGUACCAUAAAUCUUGUUGAUAUUCUGAUUUUGACCCUGCUGAACAAAAGGAAGGAUAAACAUUUCCAGUUCUUUUCCAUUUAGUC